rnacentral:rRNA from 1 species
UACAGAGGUCUCAAGCGUUGUUCGGAUUCAUUGGGCGUAAAGGGUGCGUAGGCGGCGCGGUAAGUCGGGUGUGAAACUCUCGGAGCUUAACUCCGAAACUGCAUUCGAUACUGCCGUGCUUGAGGACUGGAGAGGAGACUGGAAUUUACGGUGUAGCGGUGAAAUGCGUAGAUAUCGUAAGGAAGACCAGUGGCGAAGGCGGGUCUCGUGGACAGUUCCUGACGUGAGGCACGAAGGUCAGGGGAGCAAACGGG